GGAAAAUUAUUUUAUGAAUAGUAAAAUUAUAAUUUUACCCUUAAGUUAAGAAAUAAAAACUUCUAAAAUAUAGGGAUAUAUUUGUAAUUUUCCAUAUUUUCCUCCCACUUUCCUCUCAUUUUGGAGAGAAAGUAAAAGUGGACAAAAAAAAUUUUAUUUUCCUCUCAAAUUUUCCUUCAUUUCUCUCUUAUUUCUCUCUAUCCAAACACAAAAUGAUGAAAAAUAAAAUUAUUUUACUCUCAAAUUUUAUUUCCUUUCUUAUUUUCCCUCUAUCCAAACAUAGUGUUAAUGUUCAAAACAAUUAAGUUCCAUCUUCUUACAGUAUUGGUAAGUUGUACAGACCCCUUAUCUGAGUUUAGUCCUCUGUUUGCCAUCUUGCUAGAUCUAUCGCAUCAUGAGGCAUGAGAUGUGCAAUUUGCAAACUUAGGCAUUUUGAUCAUUUGAUGUGAAAUAAAGUUUCUAUGGCAAUUCAGCAGCUGGUUUAGUUUUACAGUAACCUGAGUUGCUGUUCACGGUAUAGUCCAAUGACCUUUGAAUUUAUUUCAUGCUUCUGUCUGUUUGAUUAGCCUAAUCCUUACACUCUCACUGCCACAUUAAAAACCCUAAAGCCUCACAUAUUUUCCUGGCUUUUCCUCUUUAAUUAAUCGUCAAGAUGUUACUUGACUAGUUCCCUCUUAUACUUGCUUCCAUGUUGGCACAUUUGUAUUUUAUAUAGGCUACUUGGUAAUUGCCAUAGAUUAGUUGCAUCUGAGUGCAAUUAUAUUGCUCUUCUUAUCUUAUUAUUUAUUUGUUAUCGAAUCCUAAUUAUUUUUGUUAUAUUGUUCAG
rnacentral:misc_RNA from 1 species